UUGUGUCCUAUUAUCAUGUUUGAUCUUGGAAUUGUCAUGUUAAAUAUCUUACAAUGCAGAGAAUAAUACAUGAAUAAAUGAUCUCUUAACCGGCUACUAAACCACCCCUCAAAGUUAUUACUACUAUUAGCCAGACUGAGGAAGAGCCAAAAUAGCGAAUUUGCAACUGUUUGGAUAACGUGCUGUAUCAUCUCUCUAACAUAGCUAGCACUAUUCCUGUCCGCACAAAUUGGGCAACUAACAUUCAACAUUUCAAUUUGCCUUGCUUAUUCCGUCUUCACACAGCUCUAACCUGAAAUGUACAUAUCAUCAAGAAUAUAUUCCCCUUAUAGACAUGAAAAAGAACCUUAAGAGAAGAAAGGUACUUACAAAACAAGCUAUUUAUGUUCACCCCUCAUCUUGUGCUGCAGAAUGUUAACACACCACUCUUCUUCGGGUUGAUCAUCAACAUUGGAGUUCUCAUUUCCUCACUCCAUUAUUGGGGCCAAUUUUGGACCCCUCUCUCAAGUCGCUUUUGAGGUGGUUGGGGACUCCAGCAGUGCGACAUAGUUUCAGGCAAGGUAACAAAGUAGGAGAUAGACUGUCCAAGCAGGGUUUAAAGUAUGGAACUUAUGAUCAACCAUCUGUUUUGCUAUCACCUCCCACAAGCGUCACCAACUUUUUGGAAGCUGAUAAGCAAGGAGUGACGACUCCAAAAUUAGUAUCUAUAUCAUCGUGUAAUAGCUUAGCUAGUUUAGGCAAUCUAAGUGUUUUAGCUAUCAAUGAUAGCACGUCUGUUACUAGUUCAUCUUAUGUAACUACCUAGUAUUAAAAAAAAUCCGUUCAACCAAAAAAAAAAAAAAGAGAAAGGUAAAUGGAUAGGUUUUACCUCUUACACGUGGCAUCUUUAGUUAAU